GAUGAAGAACGCAGCGAAAUGCGAUAAGUAAUGUGAAUUGCAGAAUUCAGUGAAUCAUCGAAUCUUUGAACGCACAUUGCGCCCGCUAGUAUUCUGGCGGGCAUGCCUGUCCGAGCGUCAUUUCAACCCUCAAGCCCCCGGGCUUGGUGUUUGGGAUCGGCGAGCCUCCGCGCCCGCCGUCCCCUAAAUCUAGUGGCGGUCUCGCUGUAGCUUCCUCUGCGUAGUAGCACACCUCGCACUGGGAAACAGCGCGGCCACGCCGUUAAACCCCCAACUUCUGAACGUUUGACCUCGGAUCAGGUAGGAAUACCCGCUGAACUUAAGCAUAUCAAUAAGCGGAGGA
rnacentral:misc_RNA from 1 species